rnacentral:rRNA from 1 species
AACGAACGCUGGCGGCAUGCCUAACACAUGCAAGUCGAACGAGACCUUCGGGUCUAGUGGCGCACGGGUGCGUAACGCGUGGGAACCUGCCCUUAGGUUCGGAAUAACUCCCCGAAAGGGGUGCUAAUACCGGAUAAUGUCUUCGGACCCAAGAUUUAUCGCCUUUGGAUGGGCCCGCGUUGGAUUAGCUAGUUGGUAGGGUAAAAGCCUACCAAGGCGACGAUCCAUAGCUGGUCUGAGAGGAUGAUCAGCCACACUGGGACUGGGACACGGCCCAGACUUCUACGGGAGGCAGCAGUGGGGAAUAUUGGACAAUGGGCGAAAGCCUGAUCCAGCAAUGCCGUGUGAGUGAUGAAGGGCUUAGGGUUGUAAAGCUCUUUUACCCGGGAUGAUAAUGACAGUACCGGGAGAAUAAGCUCCGGCUAACUCCGU